UAUUUGCGUUCUUUGGAUUCUGAAAUGGUGUCAGAAUUAUCUCGACCAUCAUCUGUAGAGGUGGAGGAUAUCAUUCACCAGCUUGUUCAGAGCAUAGUAAGAAGAUUCUUCAAAGAUGAUCCUACCUCCAAUUUCAUAGGGCAUUCAGCCAUAGGAAGUACAGAAGAUCACAAAGACAGUGCUGAUGAAUUUUGUGACACCAUGGGAACUUCUCGUGAUUACCUAGCAAAGCUGCUUUUCUGGUGUAUGUUACUAGGUCAUCAUUUAAGAGGCUUGGAGAACAGGUUGCACAUAAGUUGUGUUGUGGGAUUGUUGUAAAGAAAAGGAGGCAUGUACAUAAUUAAACAAAAAGAAAAGAAU
rnacentral:misc_RNA from 1 species